rnacentral:lncRNA from 1 species
GGCCUCCCUCCUCUCUCAGCCUAGGUUUUGAGAGUGAGGUGCCCGUCUGAAUAGGCUGCGCACGAGCGCAUGAACGUCCGACGCUGGCGAUGGUGGGCUUUAGGCGGACUGGCCCAGUGGGUGCGUUACAAUUGGUAUCGGAGCCUACAUUGCCGCUGCUGCCUGGGAGAGCUUUGGGCCUCUUAGGGGGGUGGGAUGUAAGGGACCGGUAUGCACGCCCUGGGUUAGUACCACCUCGCCUAGCUAAGGGGGCCGUGUUGCACUUAUAAGGGCGGGCCUCCCUCCUCUCUCAGCCUAGGUUUUGAGAGUGAGGUGCCCGUCUGAAUAGGCUGCGCACGAGCGCAUGAACGUCCGAUGCUGGCGAUGGUGGGCUUUAGGCGGACUGGCCCAGUGGGUGCGUUACAAUUGGUAUCGGAGCCUACAUUGCCGCUGCUGCCUGGGAGAGCUUUGGGCCUCUUAGGGGGGUGGGAUGUAAGGGACCGGUAUGCACGCCCUGGGUUAGUACCACCUCGCCUAGCUAAGGGGGCCGUGUUGCACUUAUAAGGGCGGGCCUCCCUCCUCUCUCAGCCUAGGUUUUGAGAGCGAGGUGCCCGUCUGAAUAGGCUGCGCACGAGCGCAUGAACGUCCGACGCUGGCGAUGGUGGGCUUUAGGCGGACUGGCCCAGUGGGUGCGUUACAAUUGGUAUCGGAGCCUACAUUGCCGCUGCUGCCUGGGAGAGCUUUGGGCCUCUUAGGGGGGUGGGAUGUGAGAGACCGGUAUGCACGCCCUGGGUUAGUACCACCUCGUCUAGCCAAGGGGGCCGUGUUGCACUUAUAAGGGCGGGCCUCCCUCCUCUCUCAGCCUAGGUUUUGAGAGUGAGGUGCCCGUCUGAAUAGGCUGCGCACGAGCGCAUGAACGUCCGACGCUGGCGAUGGUGGGCUUUAGGCGGACUGGCCCAGUGGGUGCGUUACAAGAUGUCAGCGUCCAACCCCCGGCCCAGCCCACACUCGACAGCUUCGGGCGUUCAUGCGCUCGUGGGCCGGCCCAGCCAAGAGAGCCCACCACUCACAUCCCAAAAGCCAGGCUGAUGGGAGGAGGGAGACUCUCCCUUAUAAGCUGCCCACGGCCCCCUUGGCUAGCCGAUGUGGGACUAAAGCCGAGGCGCUGACUACCAGCCCCUGACAUCCCACCCCCCUUGGGAAGCCCCCCAAGUCAGGCAUGGGCCAAACCGGGCUCCGAUACCAGAUGUCAGCGUCCAACCCCCGGCCCAGCCCACACUCGACAGCUUCGGGCGUUCAUGCGCUCGUGGGCCAGCCCAGCCAAGAGAGCCCACCACUCACAUCCCAAAAGCCAGGCUGAUGGGAGGAGGGAGACUCUCCCUUAUAAGCUGCCCACGGCCCCCUUGGCUAGCCGAUGUGGGACUAAAGCCGAGGCGCUGACUACCAGCCCCUGACAUCAAUGUCAGGGACUGCCGGCCCAAAUGGCCCAUGCCGGCCCAGAUAGUUAAAGGAAAUACUACAAAAGCACCGUGGAGGUUACCAGGAAGGGCAUCGAAG